rnacentral:scRNA from 1 species
CUAGACUUGCUUUUAGCCUCCUAAAUGAAAAGGUAGAUAGAACAGGUCUUGUUUGCAAAAUAAAUUCAAGACCUACUUAUCUACCAACAGUA